rnacentral:rRNA from 1 species
GACGAACGCUGGCGGCGUGCUUAACACAUGCCAGUCGAACGGACAGGCCCUGCUUUUGUGGGGUGCUCGAGUGGCGAACGGGUGAGUAACACGUGAGUAACCUCCCCUUGACUUUGGGAUAACUUCAGGAAACUGGGGCUAAUACCGGAUAGGAGCUCCUGCUGCAUGGUGGGGGUUGGAAAGUUUCGGCGGUUGGGGAUGGACUCGCGGCUUAUCAGCUUGUUGGUGGGGUAGUGGCUUACCAAGGCUUUGACGGGUAGCCGGCCUGAGAGGGUGACCGGCCACAUUGGGACUGCGAUACGGCCCAGACUCCUACGGGAGGCAGCAGUGGGGAAUAUUGCACAAUGGGCGGAAGCCUGAUGCAGCAACGCCGCGUGCGGGAUGACGGCCUUCGGGUUGUAAACCGCUUUCGCCUGUGACGAAGCGGGAGUGACGGUAAUGGGUAAAGAAGCACCGGCUAACUACGUG